rnacentral:rRNA from 1 species
AUAAGAUAUCCCAUUGUUUCAAACAAGUAAGACCCCUUGAAGACUACAAGGUUGAUAGGCACGAUGUGUAAGUGGAGUGAUCCAUUCAGCAAGCGUGUACUAAUAGGUCGAGGGCUUGACCACA